rnacentral:rRNA from 1 species
UGGGGAAUAUUGCACAAUGGAGGGAACUCUGAUGCAGCGACGCCGCGUGAGUGAUGAAGGAAUUCGUUUCGUAAAACUCUGUUCUAUGGGAAGAAAAGGACUGUACCAUAGGAGAAAGCUCCGGCUAAAUACGUGCCAGCAGCCGCGGUAAUACGUAUGGAGCGAGCGUUGUCCGGAAUUAUUGGGCGUAAAGGGUGCGCAGGCGGCUUUACAAGUUGGAUGUGAAAUAUUGUGGCUCAACCACAAACGUGCAUCCAAAACUGCAAAGCUUGAGUUAAGGGGAGGUAAGUGGAAUUCCUGGUGUAGCGGUGGAAUGCGUAGAUAUCAGGAGGAAUAACGGUGGAGAAGGCGACUUACUGGACUUAAACUGACGCUCAGGCACGAAAGCGUGGGGAGCAAACAGG